rnacentral:tRNA from 1 species
AGAAUACAUAGCUUAAUGGUAAAGCUUGGUGUGAUAAACUGUAACUCAUGUCUAACAGUGAUAUAGGUUCAAAUCCUGUUGUAUUCUU